UCCUCUCUCCUCUCUCCCUUUCUACAGAUCUCUCCUUCUCUCCUCUCUCCCUUCCUACAGAUUUUGUUGGGUUCUGGGGGUUUAGGGCUUGAUUGGGGCAUGUUUAGGGUUUUUGAGGUGUUUUGGAUUUGUCAGUGCACGGCCGCCCAACAUCCAUCAAUAGCCGCUACCAUCAUAAGGUCGUCUGUCCCUCAUCAUCAACAGCCAAACCUCAUCUCCACCUGCAAUCGUCCACCAUCAUUAGGGUUCUGAUUGUUCAUUCUCUUCAAAGCAGCCAUUGAUCGAUCUCCCUCCAAUAGCUUAUGAGAAUAGAAGAAAUCAGAGCACACGAAGUCAAAGGUCCAAUUGCAACACAAGAUAAAGCAAGAGGCAGAGCAAUUUCGGCAAUGAAAGGCUUCUCGUGAAAAGGAACUACUGCAGAUUACCUAGAGGUCAAUCUUUAAUUGAUUGCAGGCUGCUGGAAGCUUGGAAUUAAAAAAACUUAAACUGUAGCCUAUUGCUGGUCUAUAUGAAAGCAUACAUCAAAAGGAAAAACUAUUCUCUUCUAAGGUAGUUGAUUUCUCUUCUAAAUAGUUGAGCAUCUAUUUCCACUUAGUUAUUGAUUAAAUUAAUUCAAGGAUAAGGAAAUGAUUCACACAAAGAUAGCUUUGACUGGCUUUGAAGUUCUGCACGUUGUGGCAGGUUUUGAUUAUACUCUAGUCAUUAUCUCCAAUUAGCAGCAAAGUAUAAAAGCUAGAACAAGCUACUUCUGUUUUUUCUUAUAGAUUAGUACUACAAC